rnacentral:misc_RNA from 1 species
AUUCGUCAAGUUGAUACUGACAGGGGACGUCGCAACAGGAAAAAGCCCCUGAGAAGUAGUAGGAAGUUGGCCACCAGAGGGAUUAGCAAAAUGUGGUGAGGUCGUAGAGGUGGAAAAUAAGUUCCUUCCAGAGCUUGCGAAAAUACUGCUGGGAGUGGAAGGAUUUUGAUAUGACUGGGUAGGGACUUGGGUUCCGAAGCCAAAGGAACCUGAUGUUGAUGUAUUCCCA